rnacentral:rRNA from 1 species
AUUGAACGCUGGCGGCAUGCUUUACACAUGCAAGUCGAACGGUAACAGGUCUUCGGAUGCUGACGAGUGGCGAACGGGUGAGUAAUGCAUCGGAACGUGCCCAGUCGUGGGGGAUAACGCAGCGAAAGCUGUGCUAAUACCGCAUACGAUCUAUGGAUGAAAGCGGGGGAUCGCAAGACCUCGCGCGAUUGGAGCGGCCGAUAUCAGAUUAGGUAGUUGGUGAGGUAAAGGCUCACCGAGCCGACGAUCUGUAGCUGGUCUGAGAGGACGACCAGCCACACUGGAACUGAGACACGGUCCAGACUCCUACGGGAGGCAGCAGUGGAGUA